UACAGAGGUCUCAAGCGUUGUUCGGAUUCAUUGGGCGUAAAGGGUGCGUAGGUGGCGCUGUAAGUCGGGUGUGAAAUUUCGAAGCUUAACUCCGAAACUGCAUUCGAUACUGCGGUGCUUGAGGACUGGAGAGGAGACUGGAAUUCAUGGUGUAGCAGUGAAAUGCGUAGAUAUCGUAAGGAAGACCAGUGGCGAAGGCGGGUCUCUGGACAGUUCCUGACGCUGAGGCACGAAGGUCAGGGGAGCAAACGGGG
rnacentral:rRNA from 1 species